AGCAUGAACUUAGCUUGCUAAGUUUGAUGGCGACCGGCGCACGGGUGAGUAACACGUAUCCAACCUGCCGAUGACUCGGGGAUAGCCUUUCGAAAGAAAGAUUAAUACCCGAUGGCAUAGUUCUUCCGCAUGGUAGGACUAUUAAAGAAUUUCGGUCAUCGAUGGGGAUGCGUUCCAUUAGCUUGUUGGCGGGGUAACGGCCCACCAAGGCAUCGAUGGAUAGGGGUUCUGAGAGGAAGGUCCCCCACAUUGGAACUGAGACACGGUCCAAACUCCUACGGGAGGCAGCAGUGAGGAAUAUUGGUCAAUGGGCGCUAGCCUGAACCAGCCAAGUAGCGUGAAGGAUGACUGCCCUAUGGGUUGUAAACUUCUUUUAUAUGGGAAUAAAGUGCAGUAUGUAUACUGCUUUGCAUGUACCUUAUGAAUAAGGAUCGGCUAACUCCGUGCCAGCAGCCGCGGUAAUACGGAGGAUCCGAGCGUUAUCCGGAUUUAUUGGGUUUAAAGGGAGCGUAGGCGGGUUGUUAAGUCAGUUGUGAAAGUUUGCGGCUCAACCGUAAAAUUGCAGUUGAUACUGGCAUCCUUGAGUACAGUAGAGGUAGGCGGAAUUCGUGGUGUAGCGGUGAAAUGCUUAGAUAUCACGAAGAACUCCGAUUGCGAAGGCAGCCUGCUGGACUGUAACUGACGCUGAUGCUCGAAAGUGUGGGUAUCAAACA
rnacentral:rRNA from 1 species